rnacentral:lncRNA from 1 species
GUUGGAGUCCCUUGACUUGUCAAGGAACAACUUUUCUGGCACAAUUCCUUCGAGCCUCGCUGCCCUGACUUCUUUGGCUCACUUGAACCUCUCAUACAACAACUUGUCAGGGGAAAUUCCUCUUGGUAAUCAACUUCUGACCUUCAAUGAUCCAUCUAUCUAUAUUGGCAAUCCUGGUCUUUGUGGGUUUCCUCUGAAUCAAAGUUGCAAAGACAAUGAGACAGCACAAGGUCGAAGUAAUGCAGAUGACAGAGAUGACAACGAGAUGAUAUGGUUCUACAUGAGCAUGGCACCAGGAUUUGUUGUUGGUUUCUGGGCAGUCUGGGGUACAUUGAUACUAAACAAGAAUUGGAACCUUUACUACUUCAGAUUUAUAGACAAUAUACUUGACAAAGUGUAUGUGUUCACCGUACUGAAAGUUUCUAGGAUCAGAAAACGUUGUUGUUUCCAACAAGGAUGAUAAAUUUGAACAUCAAUAUAUGCUGUAUGAGAGUUCAUCUCGUUAAUAUCAUAUCAUCAGCUUGAAUAAAAUUUAAUACUUCUGGACUUGUAUACAAGUAAGUCAUGCACUCUCAAUUUUGAUCAUUUCUGUCAAGUUCGCAGUACCAUAUGAAGUGUUCUAAUUCUGGGGACUGCCAAAAAGCUUGCACCUUUUAAUUAGUUUUUCCAAAAUAGACACCCCUUUUUUAGUUGUUCAGUUUGGCAGAAAUGAAAGGAGGUUAAAACUUUUACGAAGAUAUAGAUAGAAUUUCUGCAGCUGCGACAGAUGGAGCUGUUUAAUAUGAUCUACUCAUGUAAUGAUCCUCUUGUGUUUGAGAUGCUUGUCUUCAUCAAUCAAAUACAUAUUGGAUGCAUCAUAAGCUCAAGUCCACCAAAUGUGCAGCUGCUUGAUCAUCUUGGAUCUCAUGCUCAGAUCUUUUCACUUGAUGAGUCUCCCAUUAAUGGGGGACAUGCUGCUGCAGAUGAUGGAAUUGGGCCGAAGAGGCUUUCACACGCAUGUCAAUGUGACAAGGAUGAUCUGUGCAUGCAGGAAUAAUCCAUUUAUGAUAUACAGAGUGUGGCCCCUCUCUGAGCCGCUCACAUUGAAUUUUGCCAUGGAUUCUGUGUUAUGACUCGGGAUGUAGACGAGCUUCAUUUGAUUACCUGUUGCCAUUAGCACUCAAACGUAAGCAAAGUUCAUAGGAAUGUAAUUCUUGGUUCAAACUGUUUUGUAGACGCAAAACAAAGAAGAGGUGUUACAUCAACAUUUUCUUAUGGAUCUAAUUAUCACCCUCCAUAAAUAAGAGUGAUUAAGAUCAGGAGUGAAUCGAGAUUAAUAAUUUUUCUAGUAUCCAAUAAAUAAAAAAUUAUGUAUUUUUAUUUAAUUAUAGACAUUAUCUUGUACAAAACUCGAGAAUUGAUUUUAAAUAAUUGUUAUUAUUUUUGUAAAUAAAAAGAUCUAUUGCUCAAAAGAUAAUGUGUUAUUUAUAGAAAUGUAAGUUUGACUAGAAAUCCCACCACGAGAGAUUUCUUGAAAUAUAUUAAAAAUUAAUUAUUUUGAUCAUCUUGGCUAAACAAAAAAAUGUUGGUAAAAGGAAAACUUAGGUACUAAGAUAUCAAGUUGGUAUCAUCAGCAAGAAUUGUAUAAAUUAGAGAGUCCAAUUGAUAUAGAUGAGAAGGUAUGACAUGAGAAGAUUAUUAAUAUGGUUUAAUUGUUAAUAAUUCAUAAAUACUAGGUCGUAUUUAAUAUUAUUUCUUAAUUUAUAAAUGUCAUCGGCUCAUGUUAAUCUUUUCUGUAUCGUUCUAAUUUUAUUGGAUGUUUCUAGGUUAUGCUGGGCUUUGACGAAGAUAUCAAGUGAAAAAGUUUAUAAUAUCUUGAUUUAUAGAGUAGACAUAAUUAAGAUUGAUUUAUAAAGAUAUGAUGGACUUACUAUUAUUAAUUUUAACUUAAACACUUUAAUCAAUGGUUUAAGUUUUAAUAGCUCAUUAGUUUGUUAAGAGUAUCGACACAAUGACAGGGAGAUACAUGAUUAAGCUAGUCUCACACAAUGAUAGAGUGAUGCAUGGUUAAUCCCUUUAUGCAAGAUUUACUUUUUUAACAUGAGAUGAUCAUUGUUUUCUUUGUUUUUCAUGAGUAAAGUUAGCAUGUUCUCGAAGAUAAAAGAAAAAAAAAUUGACACGACAAGAGAGGAAUGGUAGCAACAGAUUCUGAACACAAACUAAGAUUCAAAGAUGAUGCAACCUUGCUGUUGCAAAAGUAGAUGAGUAACUUGGCUCUGAUAGCUGGAAUUGAAGGUCUUCCUUCCUCUUGUUCUGCUCAGUUGCAUUAUCAUGUCAAUUUCCAGGAGAGUUUCCCAGCGACUGCUGAUCGCUGUCUUCUUGGUGACCACAAAUCUUGUCUUUCUUUUAUUCGUGUUAAUAAUGGUUGUCUGAUAGCUACAAAUUUCUCCUAUUUAGCAGUUCUUAGGAAAUUCUCAAAACCUUCACAUUCAAGAAGAUGCUGGAGUCUUUAGAUGAAAGCUAUUCCAACUUUGGGACUCGUCAAAAUCAGAAGUCAUAGUUGACUGACUUGAGGAUAGACAACAAUAUGAAAUGAAGAACAAGUGCAUGAUAUUGGCAGACAGCCUAAUUGUUGAAGGUUUCUUGGUCUACUCUUUGAAUCCGUCAGUUGAGUAGUUUCAGACUAACGGAGGAUGAUCCAAACAGGGCAUGAUAAUAAUAUUUUGUGUAUUGCAAGCUGUCCACCGCAGAUUUCUCAUGAUUAAUCUUAAGAUAAGCUGCGUAUUUUUAUUAUCUGUAAUCUAAGAUAAUUGUGUUGGUGUGAGAUGAUCCACUUUGAUCAAGUACACAAUUUCCCUCCCAAUCGAUGGAAUCAUGGUUGUGGUAAUAAUUGUUUUCAGGUGUAUGCAAAAAGGCAAAUCUACCUGUUCUGUGAAAUUUCUUGCCAGUUUCUAUGCACUACCGGUGCCAGAAAUAUGAAAAUCUAAUUAAAUACCUUGACGAAUUAAGCUGCCAUUAUGGUUGUUUUUCUAGUUUCUUGGACUCGUUUUAGACAUUACAAGUGUAUGACACUGGAUUUGCUCAGUAGAACAUCAUGGACGACCUUCUAUCAUUGUCAACCUAGAACAUCGNNNNNNNNNNNNNNNNNNNNNNNNNNNNNNNNNNNNNNNNNNNNNNNNNNNNNNNNNNNNNNNNNNNNNNNNNNNNNNNNNNNNNNNNNNNNNNNNNNNNNNNNNNNNNNNNNNNNNNNNNNNNNNNNNNNNNNNNNNNNNNNNNNNNNNNNNNNNNNNNNNNNNNNNNNNNNNNNNNNNNNNGUGCAGCAAUCAUACUGGGCAUGUCGUCAAGCUGGACCUCCAGAAUCCGCAUCCUUUCUCGGAUUUUGGUGACGAGCCAUACAACAACUGGACCUUAGGAGGUGAGUUGAGGCCUUCUUUACUUGGUCUGAAACACCUGAAGUACCUGGACCUAAGCAUGAACGAUUUUGGAGGCAUUAAUAUUCCAGAAUUCAUGGGGUCAUUCCAUCAACUCCAAUAUCUUAACCUCUCCAGAGCUGGAUUGGGUGGACUCCUGCCUCACCAGCUGGGAAAUCUCUCCAAUCUGCAGUAUCUAGACUUAUCCAAUGACUUGGAUCCCAAUUUUGUGGUUCCGGUCCGUGAAUUUAGCAUUGGUGAUGCACUCUGGAUUUCUCACCUUUCUUCUCUAAAGCAUCUCAACCUGAAGAGUGUUAACUUUCAAAAUGGUACGCACUGGCUGGAAGCUCUGAACAUGCUUCCUUCUAUUCUGGAGAUAUACUUAUCUCUCUGCGAAAUUGGAAGUGUUCCCCACUCUCUUCCGCAUGUGAACUUUACAUCACUGUCUGUUCUUGAUUUGUCCUAUAAUUUCAUUAGCUCUACGAUACCCUCUUGGUUAUUCAACAUAAGUGGCCUUGAGCAUCUUGAUCUUAGUUCGAACAACCUUCAGGGUAAUAUUCCACCGACCUUUGGUAACUUGGCUUCCCUCGAGGAACUUAAUUUAGCUAACAAUCCUCUUCAAGGAGGAAUACCAACUUCCUUCAAAAAUCUGUGCAAGUUGCAGAAUUUAAUAUUGGCAGGCAUCAAUAUCAGCAAAGAUUUGUUAGGCCUUGAUGAAAGUUUUUCUGGUUGCGUCAAGAUGAGCCUAGAGGUUCUAGGCUUAUCCGGCACGAAUAUUAGUGGGCAGUUGCCUGAAUGGUUAUUCCAAUUCAGGAAGCUUAAAUCACUCCAGUUGAAGCAGAAUCUGAUUUCUGGGCCUAUUCCUGUAUCAAUUGGACAACUAGCAUCACUCCAAGAGCUCUUUCUUGGUCAAAAUCAAUUGAACGAAACAAUACCAGAAAGCGUGGGGUGGCUGUCUCAGCUUGUUUCUUUGGACCUUGAGCACAACAAUUUGGAGGGUGUAAUGUCUGAGGCGCAUUUUGGAAACCUCACAGAAUUGAAAGACUUGUAUUUGUCGUCCAACCCCUUGGCUCUAAAGGUCAAGAGCAAUUGGCUUCCUCCCUUCCAGCUUGAAUCCCUUCGGAUGGACUCUUGCAAACAGGGUCCUGAGUUCCCUGCAUGGCUCCAGUCGCAAAAAAAUAUUUCAGAAAUUGUUAUGUCUAAUGCUAGUAUUAUUGAUGCUAUGCCAGACUGGUUUUGGAGCUUAAUUUCCACAGCAGAGUACGUGAGUUUCUCCGGCAAUCAGAUCAGUGGCCACGUACCAAAUUUAUUGCAUUUAAACAACCUCAUCGAGUUGGAUUUAAGUUCAAACUACUUGGAGGGUCCUCUUCCAUAUUUUCCUCCUAGAUUGGAAGCAUUAGAUCUAUCAAACAAUUCAUUUUCAGGAACAAUUUCACUUGCCAUCAUCAUGAAUAUGCUAAACCUCAUGUAUUUAUCAUUUUCAGAAAACAAUUUAAGUGGUGAAAUUCCCUUCUCUAUAUGCAAACUGUCGGUCUUACAGUUUCUUGAUCUUUCAAAAAAUAUGUUAUCAGGAGAGCUCCCCAGUUGCUGGAAUGAUUCUUCCCCAAUUGAAUUUAUAGAUUUUUCAAGCAACAACAUAUCUGGAGUUAUUCCUGAGUCAAUAUGUUCCAUAGCAUCGCUUCAGUCGUUGCACUUGAGCAAUAACAGUCUAUCUGGAGAGCUGCCUUUGCCCUUGAAGGACUGUGGGAAAUUAUACCUUCUUGAUGCCGGAUAUAAUAAUUUGAAAGGUGAAAUUCCAACCUGGAUAGGUGAAAGUUUAACUAGUCUGAGGUUCCUCAAUCUGCGAUCAAAUAUGUUGGUCGGAGAUAUUCCUCCAAAUCUUUCAAGAUUGAGUGCUCUCCAAUUUCUCGACCUUGCGGGUAAUGAGCUAUCGGGUACUAUUCCAAGGAGCUUUGGAAAUUUUACUGCCAUGAAAGUAAUUGAAAAUUUUUCAAGUUCGACGACAGAUCAAAUUAGAUAUAAGGAGCAUAUGUUUAUUACAACUAAAGGAGACACUCAAGACUAUGGGAAGUCACUUUCGCUUAUGAAUAUUUUGGACCUCUCGGAUAAUAACUUAUUCGGAGGAGUACCUAAAGAAGUCACAAGUCUUUUUGGCUUAUUCAGCUUAAAUUUAUCUGGAAACCAUUUCACAGGAGAAAUCACUGAAAGUAUCAGUAAAUUACAACAAUUGGAGUCCCUUGACUUGUCAAGAAACAACUUUUCUGGCACAAUUCCUUCUAGCCUCGCUGCCUUGACUUAUUUGGCUCACUUGAACCUGUCAUACAACAACUUGUCAGGGGAAAUUCCUCUUGGUAAUCAACUUCUGACUUUCAAUGAUCCAUCGAUCUAUAUUGGCAAUCCUGAUCUUUGUGGGUUUCCUCUGAAUCAAAGUUGCAAAGAUAGUGAGACA